rnacentral:lncRNA from 1 species
GCAUAGAAACGGAGACCAGAGCAGCGCAGUAGCGCUGCGCAGCCAGAGUAGAACAGCGCGGAACAGAGCAGCGCAACAAACUACUUGGCGGCACAGACUCGCCAGCGCAGUUCAAGGGAACUACUCAGCACGGGCAACGAGGGAGUUCUAUUUUCAUUACCCAAACCAGCCGAAGAAGUCAAAGUGCCUCUCCACGCAGCCACGUAUGAUGGUUCAGCUUGGGGACUAAGAUCAUUGUAUUAUGUUUUGGGCCUAAAUCCAAUUAUUAGAGUUCGUGGGCCUAAGGCCUUUAGGGUUCAUUCUCACAGCUAUAAAUAGGAGCUUUAGCAUUAGCAU